UAUAAAUCGAUGAACAAGAGAAGUAGAUUGAAUCAUUGAUCUAGAGAGAGCCGCGGACGGUGGAAGCGUGGCAUCAACUUCAAUUGAACGCCCUUGCGAGAUGGUCCGCGGAUAAUGCGGAUUCGGCAGCUGUCCGUAAUCAUGCAGCCGAGUGUGUUGGCAAGUCCAAAGCACUUAUUGAGGUUCCGAUGGUGACAUCGGAAUAAAUUAAGGUGGUAACGCGAGAAUCCAAAGACUCUCGUCCUUUAA
rnacentral:ncRNA from 1 species